rnacentral:rRNA from 1 species
UACGGGGGGUGCAAGCGUUAUUCGGAAUCAUUGGGCGUAAAGGGCGCGUAGGCGGUCUUUUAAGUCAGAUGUGAAAGCCCUCGGCUUAACCGAGGAAGUGCAUUUGAUACUAAAAGACUUGAGUAUGGGAGAGGGAAGCGGAAUUCCUGGUGUAGCGGUGAAAUGCGUAGAUAUCAGGAGGAACACCGGUGGCGAAGGCGGCUUCCUGGACCAAUACUGACGCUGAGGCGCGAAGGCGUGGGGAGCAAACAGG